UACGUAGGGAGCAAGCGUUGUUCGGAUUUACUGGGCGUAAAGCGCGUGUAGGCGGCUAUGUAAGUCGGGCGUGAAAUCCCACGGCUCAACCGUGGAAGUGCACCCGAAACUGCGUAGCUAGAGUCCUGGAGAGGAAGGUGGAAUGCUUGGUGUAGAGGUGAAAUUCGUAGAUAUCAAGCGGAACACCGGUGGCGAAGGCGGCCUUCUGGACAGUGACUGACGCUGAGACGCGAAAGCGUGGGGAGCAAACAGG
rnacentral:rRNA from 1 species